GCUUGUCUCAAAGAUUAAGCCAUGCAUGUCUAAGUAUGAAUGUUAUACAGUGAAACUGCGAAUGGCUCAUUAAAACAGUUAUUGUUUAUUUGAUAAUCAAAUUUACAUGGAUAACCGUGGUAAUUCUAGAGCUAAUACAUGCUGAUAUGCCUGACUCUUAGGAAGGGCUGUAUUUAUUAGAUAACAAACCAAUAUUCCUCGUGUCUAUUGCGAUGACUCAUAAUAACUGAUCGAAUCGCAUGGACUUUGUCCGCGAUACAUCAUUCAAGUUUCUGCCCCAUCAGCUUUCGAUGGUAGUGUAUUGGACUACCAUGGCUUUAACGGGUAACGGAGGAUUAGGGUUCGAUUCCGGAGAGGGAGCCUGAGAAACGGCUACCACAUCUAAGGAAGGCAGCAGGCGCGUAAAUUACCCAAUCCUAAUUCAGGGAGGUAGUGACAAGAAAUAACGGACUGAGGCCUACGCUUCAGGAUUGCAAUGAGUAGAAUUAAACCCCUUGCGAG
rnacentral:rRNA from 1 species